GACGAACGCUGGCGGCGUGCCUAACACAUGCAAGUCAACUUGACUGAAGGAGCAAUCUGACAGUAGAGUGGCGCAAGGGUGCGUAACGCGUAAGUAACUUGCCCAAGGUAAGGAAUAACGUCGAGAAAUCGGCGCUAAUACCUCAUAAUGCAGCGGAUCCGCAUGGAUAUGUUGUUAAAGGUUUACCGCCUUGGGAUAGGCUUGCGUCUGAUUAGUUAGUUGGUGUGGUAACGGCACACCAAGGCUACGAUCAGUAACUGGUCUGAGAGGAUGAUCAGUCACACUGGAACUGAGACACGGUCCAGACUCCUACGGGAGGCAGCAGUGAGGAAUAUUGGGCAAUGCUCGAAAGAGUGACCCAGCAACGCCGCGUGGAGGAUGAAGGUAUUCUAUAUCGUAAACUCCUGUGAGAGCAGACGAAAGACAAGAUUAUUAAUCUGGAUGACUGUAUGCUCAGAGGAAG
rnacentral:rRNA from 1 species